UCCUAGGGAGGCAGCAGCAGGGAAUCUUGGGCAAUGGGCGAAAGCCUGACCCAGCGACGCCGCGUGGAGGAAGAAGUCCUUCGGGGCGUAAACUCCUGGACUGGGGGACGAGGAAGGACGGUACCCCAGUAGAAAGGGACGGCUAACUACGUGCCAGCAGCCGCGGUAAU
rnacentral:rRNA from 1 species